GUGUUUAAAAAUAAUGUAUGUUAAAUUCAGCUUAAAUUGGGAAACUCGCCAUUGGCUGUGACGUCACUCGCGUUAGUGCACAUGAUAUUGCGGGGCGGAGCUCUAUAAUCAGAGUCUCAUAGCUCGUCCUGCUGACGUUGUAUGCGACAUCGAUGUGCUAUAUGCUGUAUGCUGAUAAGCCAUUUGGUCCUGUUUUCCCAGGUAUGUGUUUUAUUCGAGUUUUGUCAUGUUCUAUGUUAAAAUAUUAGCCCCAGCUGAAUGUUAGCUUUUAGCACAUGUGCUGUAUCGUCUCGCACGUGCUCUCUGCUGUGUAACUGCGCCAUCUAAGGGCUGCGUUAUUCUCUCUCCAUUUCAUUUAUAUAAAAUAUGUAAAAUGAUGGUUACUUGAGUUUAUAUUUUCACUGUAUUAAUGUUAAUUGUCUGUAUUAGUGUUUUAUAUUUUAUUUUCAUGGAUGUAUGCUUUAAGAAUUUUUCCACUAUAUGUUCACGCUCAAUUUGAGAAAAUGUAUAUAAUCAGAGUCUCAUAGCUCGUCCUGCUGACGUUGUAUGCGACAUCGAUGUGCUAUAUGCUGUAUGCUGAUAAGCCAUUUGGUCCUGUUUUCCCAGUCUUCUUGUCGCAGAUACAGUAAAGCAACCCUGAGUGACCAUC